rnacentral:tRNA from 1 species
GCUCGGCUAGCUCAGUCGGUAGAACAUCAGACUUUUAAUCUGAGGGUCAUGGGUUCGAGUCCCAUGUUGGGCG